AUCUUCAAACCUAAACCACUUUCUCAACCAACCAACAAUCAACAUGUCUGACGCCGGCCGCAAGGAUUUCUCUGACAAGCUCAAGGAGGGUAUCACCCCCGACUCUUCCAAGUCCACCCAAACGAAGGUUAAGGAAGCCACCACUGAUACCGGCGACAAAUUGGCUCGUGGUGCCGAACCCGACAGCAACAAGUCCACCACCCAGAAACUCUUCGACAAGGG
rnacentral:misc_RNA from 1 species